rnacentral:rRNA from 1 species
UACGUAGGGGGCUAGCGUUGUCCGGAAUCAUUGGGCGUAAAGAGCGUGUAGGCGGCUUGGUAAGUCCGCUGUGAAAGUCCAGGGCUCAACCCUGGAAAGCCAGUGGAAACUGUCAAGCUAGAGUCCGGAAGAGGCGAGUGGAAUUCCUGGUGUAGCGGUGAAAUGCGCAGAUAUCAGGAGGAACACCGGUGGCGAAGGCGGGUCUCUGGGCCGAUACUGACACUGAGGCGCGAAAGCUAGGGGAGCAAACAGG